rnacentral:rRNA from 1 species
AUUGAACGCUAGCGGGAUGCUUUACACAUGCAAGUCGAACGAGUGGCGGACGGGUGAGUAAUAUCUCGGAAAGUGCCCAGUAGCGGGGGAUAACUACUCGAAAGGGUGGCUAAUACCGCAUACCAUCGGAGCGGCCGAUAUGGGAUUAGCUAGUUGGUGGGGUAAAGGCUCACCAAGGCAACGAUCCUUAGCUGGUUUGAGAGGAUGACCAGCCACACUGGGACUGAGACACGGCCCAGACUCCUACGGGAGGCAGCAGUGGGGAAUUUUGGACAAUGGGGGAAACCCUGAUCCAGCCAUCCCGCGUGUAUGAGAAGGCCUUCGGGUUGUAAAGUACUUUUGGCAGAGAAGCGGUAUCUGCAGAAGAAGCACCGGCUAACUACGUGCCAGCCGCCGCGGUAAUUC